AAAGGAUGUGGAGUUGCUUAGACAACCAGGAUGUUGGCUUAGAAGCAGCCAUCAUUUAAAGAGUGCGUAAUAGCUCACUGGUCGAGUGACUCUGCGCCGAAAAUGUAACGGGGCUAAACACACCACCGAAGCUAUGGCUUGAUACUAUGUAUCAGGGGUAGGGGAGCGUUGUGUACCGGGUUGAAGGUAGACCGGAAGGACUGCUGGACUGUACACAAGUGAGAAUGCCGGUAUGAGUAACGAAAAGACAUGUGAGAAUCAUGUCCGCCGAAAGCCUAAGGGUUCCUGAGGAAGGUUCGUCCGCUCAGGGUAAGUCGGGACCUAAGGCGAGGCCGAAAGGCGUAGUCGAAGGACAACAGGUUGAAAUUCCUGUACCACCGUAAACCGUUAUGAGCAAUGGGGUGACGCAGAAGGAUAGGGACGCGAGCUGAUGGAUGCUCGUCCAA
rnacentral:rRNA from 1 species